CUAAAUUAAUUUGGUAUUUUGUGGUCUGAAGCAAAACUAGAAUCAAAAUCUCUGCCUCAUUUCUCAGCUCUGACUUUGGUUGUGGCGGGUAGAAUCUCAAACAGAAAACAGGAAAUACUACCGUAGGGUAGACUGUCUCAUUUCAGUACUGCCAUCGCAGCCUACCCAUCCUUCUAAGGACACACCUUCGUAGACCGCGUCCUUCGAAGGAUGCAGCCCCUAAAUUGAGACACAGCCAUUGAGUGUAGGUACAGUACAGUUAGAGUACAGCAGAGGAUGCUGUAAUAAUCAUAUGAGUUAUUGUGAUAUUGAGUGUGGGUACAGUACAGUUAGAAAACACUAGAGGGCGUUGUAAUAAUCAGGUAAUUUAUUGCGAUCUUGAAUGUGGGUAUAGUACAGCAGCGGACAGUAAAGGGAGCUGUAAUGACCAGGUGAGUUAUUCUGGUAUUGGGUGUGGGUACAGUACAGUUAGAGGACAGUAGAGGGCGCUGUAAUAAUCAGGUGAGUUAUUGUGAUAUUGAGUGUGGGUACAGUUAGAAAACACUAGAGGGUGCUGUAAUAAUCAGGUAAGUUUUUGUGAUGUUGAAUGUUAUAUGAUAUUUUUAUUAAUUAUAUCCCUUUCCUGUGUUUAGAUUAUUCUAAUGUGUAUGUAGUAGACAUGACAUACGCUUGAUUUUUCCUGCACAUUCAUAAUAUUCAUUGUUUUGUAUAUCAGUUUCUUUACUCUACCGUUUUAUUUCAUUUUGUAUUUUUAUUAUGUUUAAAUAUAAUAAAAUCUAAAUUUAGUUCAUUAAAAAUUUUAUUAUGGCAAGUUAUUAAUAUCUCUAAUUGUGUUUCUUGUAGACAAUGCAGAAGGUGUGGCUUGAAGGAAUAGCAAAAAAUCUGAGGAAACCCAAAGAUUCUAAAGUAAAUACAGAAGUCCAACUUAUUAAUGGAAAUGAGAAGGAAUUUAUGGACUCCUACAUCACUAAGAUCCAAGAGGAAAGAAAUUAUUGUUUCCCAGCAACUAAGUCCACCAGCAAAGACUAUUAUUUUUAUGCCUGUGACAGAUCAAAUAAGGCAAAAGGACAAAGCAAAGGGGAGUCCAGUAAAACAAGAGCCAAUUCCUGCCUGACUUAUGUUUUUUUUUUUAAUGAUUGUAUUGAUGGGAUUGUCUCACUGGCCAAAUAUGUUUACACUGUGGGCCAAAUUUGGUCCAUGGGCCUGAUUUUGACACCUAUAGUCUACAGAAAUAUAAAAUGUACUUUUCGGCUGCAUUUUGUUAUAUUUGUCAAACAAUUUACCCUCUACAUAUAUGGGAAUAUGGGAAAAAAUCAUAUCACAAUAUUUUUUUAUAUCAGUCAAUAUCAAUAUAUAUAUCACGAUAUAAUCAAACCAUUAUUUCUGUUACAUCUAAAGGUUACUUUGUACUCCUCAGUGAUGAGUGAAGAUAUUGAGAUGUGGGAGUUUGUUGCCUCACACAGGGUGCGCAAUUAUUCAUGUCAAAUGUCUGUGAUUCAUUCGUCUGCAGUAACCAAAAUAUUAGCAUGUGGAUUAAACCACUGCUCCCUCUGCACUCUGUGCUGUGUGCUUCUACUAGAGAUGAAACAAUAUUAACAUUUUAUAUCAGCAUUAUAAUGACCAAAACUGUCACGCUUAUCAUAUUAUAGUGAUAUUGUUUAAAUGUGUUGAAAAAUAAAAUGCAUAAAUAAUAAAUACUAAUACACAAACCAUAACUUUUACAUUGACACUAAUAGAAUUGACCGACAUAAUAAUAAUUAUAAUAAUAAUAAGGACUGUUAUUUAUAUUAUCAUUAUUAUUCAUUUCAAUAUUUAGUGAUUGUGAUAGAAACACUCUAAUAAUUUAACCACAAAAGAUGAUUGCUAAAAGCUGCACUGCCUUUACUCAUGCAAGGACCCGUCCCAAAUCACACAAGCUUCCCUCUGUUAUUUUGCGAUAAAUAUUAUCUUUUUAUCGCCCAGCACUAAGUGUAUUUGUAUUGUAUGUUCAAGGCUGUGCAUCACUGGCUGGUGAAAAAAGAUGGAGAAAACCUUCAGGAGGAUCACCUGCCCAAAGAAACACUGUUCUACAUGCCAUGAUGACAAUGAAAGCCUGCAUGACAGUACAAAAGAAGGGAUUUCUGUGACAUCUUGCAACUGAAUGAAGAAGAUUUUGAAAGUGUGUCUGCUUUAAAGUGUAGAGACCUUGAGGCCCAGUUUGGUAGCAGCCGGGUAACCCAUUACCUCAGGGACCAAUGGUUUCCUUUGGCCGCACUCUGGGCAAACUUUGGACGAUUGUUUGAGCACAACAGCAGUGACACCAACAACAAAGCAGAGAGAUUCUUCCUCACUAUAAAAUACCAGUUUUUGUGAGGUCAAGCAAAUAAACGAGUUGACCAGCUUCUUCAAUUGCUUUGUGGAGAUGGCCAAAAAUAUUACAAUUAUUUGGAUGACCUCGUACAUGCUGGACGACUUAACACUUCAGCAUCAUCUACUUCUGUACCUACUACAAGUAUGCUGGGAGAUGGUCUGCAUAAAAAAAUUCACAUAGGUGAAGAUGGGAGAUGUUCUCUGCCAAAAGAUUCCAUGUCAACAGUGUCAGACCCUCGUAUAAUUACAGUUGAUUUAGUCUGGAUGCUCUGUGACUGCAAAACCUAUGACAGAGGCAAUCUGUGCAAGCACACCAUGAUGGCCAAGACUGAGGCACAAAGAAGAGGCAUAAACACACAAGUUUUACGCAAUAGCGUGGCAAAACAAUAUUUUGACAAUGAUCAGUUCUACAUAGAUGGAGACUGUCUUUCAGUAUACCAUCGUGAUGGCAAUGUCACAUUUGAGGUGAACCUGCUUUUUGCACUUGUACUGCCAACAGUUACCAAGAAAAAUGUGUCUUGCAGAUAUCCCUGAAAUUAACAUGACCUCUUCUUGCAUGGCCAUGACUGAAAGUGAGAUUGCCCAUCAGCUGUGUCCUAAACCAAAGCCUACAGUGCAGACCAUGCUGUCAGACUUGCUUGAAUGGAGUCACUCACCAAACUACAAGUACAGCAGAGAACUGCACAAUACAAUCCAGAAAGCACACAAAAUGGCCUUUGCAAACUUUGGAAUAGUUUCUAAGAAACACAAAAUCUCUGCCCUGCAUGCAUAUCGGAAACAUAUUGAGAAGGCCAAACGUGAAGCUAGAGAGACUUUUAAAUCUGUAAGGUCACACAGGUUACGUGUGCAGAACAUACAGAAGGAAAGUGUGUCAAGAAAGAAAAUUUUGUAAGUGUUUGUCACAUUUCUUUUACAUUUCUUUUGUCCUUUUCUCAGUGAACACUUAAAAAAUAUGGUGGAUUUACUCUAAUGGUAAUUUAUCAGCUCCAAUGAACAUGUAGGACCACUUUGUAGUUCUACAAUUACAUUUGCUGUCAUCCAUCAGUCACUUACAGCAGUUACCUAGUUCUUCAAUACUAAGGACCCCCAUGUAGCAGGUAUUAUUUGUGUUGUUUUUCAUUCUCAGCAUUGCAGUGACACUGAUGUGGUGCUUGUUUGGGUAGAUCAGACAGUAGUAGUUUUUUUUUUUUUGUUUUUUUUAACCUCUUGUGACACUUUGGACUGAGAUGGUCCACCAACCAAAACUGGAAAGCACUGAUGAAGGACUAUAACAAAAACAGCAGCAACAAAUGAGCCAUCAUCUCUGACUUUACAACUAGUUAGGUCAAAGUAACUCAACAGAAUGGACAGUGUUUAAAAACUCCACCAAGUGUAUAUUUGGAUGUUGAUUCUUGAUAUGGAUGUUAUAAAUGUAAAUAAAUUGUUGAUUAAUUA